CCAGCUAGUUGAGCUACCUGUACCAAUC
rnacentral:sRNA from 1 species